GCCACAUGAUGAACACAGAUCUGCAUUAGCACUUUUGUGCAAAGAUGACCAGCUAUCUAUCACCCUUGUCUGAUGGCU